GACGAACGCUGGCGGCACGCUUAACACAUGCAAGUCGAACGAGGUCCAAGGAGCUUGCUCCUGAAGACCUAGUGGCGAACGGGUGAGUAACACGUGAGAAACCUGCCCCGAAGACCGGGAUAACCCACCGAAAGGUGAGCUAAUACCGGAUACCUUCACGACGUCUCCUGGCGAUGUGAAGAAAUGGAUUCCGCUUUGGGAGGGUCUCGCGGCCUAUCAGCUUGUUGGUGAGGUAACGGCUCACCAAGGCGACGACGGGUAGCUGUUCUGAGAGGAAGAUCAGCCACACUGGGACUGAGACACGGCCCAGACUCCUACGGGAGGCAGCAGUGGGGAAUCUUGCGCAAUGGGCGAAAGCCUGACGCAGCGAUGCCGCGUGCGGGAAGACGGCCUUCGGGUUGUAAACCGCUUUCAGCAGGGACGAAAUUGACGGUACCUGCAGAAGAAGCUCCGGCCAACUACGUGCCAGCAGCC
rnacentral:rRNA from 1 species